rnacentral:lncRNA from 1 species
ACAGACAGGCUGCCAGCCCUCAGCAUGGACCCGGCACAUGGAAUCUGUGAUCUUAAAAGAGUCAAGUGACUACCUUUGGCAACCAAAAGAGACACUGCCUUUUAGAAGGCAUAUCAUCUGAAACUGGCUGAAAGAGCUGUCUUACUUAGGAAGAAAAAUCUCUCCUUUGGAAAGAGCUGGAACUUUUAGUAAAACUGAACAGUGAGGUGGCGGAAGAUAAAUAUGCUGAGGCAUGUUUUCAAGGAGGGGAGAGAGAUUCCUUUUCCUCAGCCGGGCACAGAGCCAACCUGAAGUGUAGCACUGUGGUGACCUGGCGGGAUCUGCUCUCCAGUCACUCCCGAGGGCCCUUCUGGGGACAAGGAGACUUUUCUGUGCGGCCUGUUGAUUUGAUAGAGAUGAUGUCUUGCCACAUUGCCCAGGCUGGUCUCAAACUCCAGGCCUAAAGGGAUCU